GAUGAACGCUAGCUACAGGCUUAACACAUGCAAGUCGAGGGGAAACGAUAUUGGAAGCUUGCUUCUGAUAGGCGUCGACCGGCGCACGGGUGAGUAACGCGUAUCCAACCUGCCCAUCACUUGGGGAUAACCUUGUGAAAGUAAGACUAAUACCCAAUGACGUCUCUAGAAGACAUCUGAAAGAGAUUAAAGAUUUAUCGGUGAUGGAUGGGGAUGCGUCUGAUUAGCUUGUUGGCGGGGUAACGGCCCACCAAGGCGACGAUCAGUAGGGGUUCUGAGAGGAAGGUCCCCACAUUGGAACUGAGACACGGUCCAAACUCCUACGGGAGGCAGCAGUGAGGAAUAUUGGUCAAUGGACGAGAGUCUGAACCAGCCAAGUAGCGUGCAGGAUGACGGCCCUAUGGGUUGUAAACUGCUUUUAUAAGGGAAUAAAGUGGGAGUCGUGACUCUUUUUGCAUGUACCUUAUGAAUAAGGACCGGCU
rnacentral:rRNA from 1 species